CCUACGGGAGGCAGCAGUGAGGAAUAUUGGUCAAUGGACGAGAGUCUGAACCAGCCAAGUCGCGUGAAGGAUGACUGCUCUAUGGGUUGUAAACUUCUUUUAUAAAGGAAUAAAACGAGGCACGUGUGCCUUUUUGCAUGUACUUUAUGAAUAAGGAUCGGCUAACUCCGUGCCAGCAGCCGCGGUAAUACGGAGGAUCCGAGCGUUAUCCGGAUUUAUUGGGUUUAAAGGGUGCGUAGAUGGGUUGUUAAGUCAGUUGUGAAAGUUUGCGGCUCAACCGUAAAAUUGCAAUUGAUACUGGCAGUCUUGAGUACAGUUGAGGUAAGCGGAAUGCGUGGUGUAGCGGUGAAAUGCUUAGAGAUCACGAAGAACCCCGAUUGCGAAGGCAGCUUACUAAACUGUGACUGACAUUGAUGCACGAAAGUGUGGGUAGCAAACAGGAUUAGAUACCCGUGUAGUC
rnacentral:rRNA from 1 species